GCCAGGUGUGGUGGCACACACCUGUAAUUCCAGCAACUCAGGAGGCUGAGCCAGGAGGAUCUCGAGUUCAAAGCCAGCCUCAGCGAAGGCAACGUGCUAAGGGGCUCAGUGAGACCCUGUCUCUA
rnacentral:sRNA from 1 species